AACAGCAAUGAUAUAACAGCUAUACCGAGGAUGAAUUACUCGGAAAAAAUUACUUCAUUAAAAUAUUCCUUUUGGCCCCUUCUGUUUAUAAAACGUUUCUUCUACAGUUCGACAAGCUGUCUGGUGGCAAAAGUAAGAGAGUUAUUUCAGUAUUACCUCAUGUUAUGAUCAAGACCUCUGGCUUUUAUGAAGAUAAACGAAUUAAGUUCCAUCCCAAUCUGCUCGAGGUCGGUUGGAAUCACUGAAACUAUCAAUCUUAGAUGCGAUCUAAACAAGAACUCACCUUCCUCCAAAACAUUCUCAAAUGGAUCGCCGUCAACCUUCACAAACUUCAUUGAUCUGUGCCACGAUAAAUGUUCAUACAGCGACAGUAACUGCUGCAGUUUUGUUUCCUUGGGAACUAACGCUCGCUCUUCUAGAUUAACUUGCAAAGUUUCAAACAAACCAAGCAAAGGUUGGUCAGGGUUGCCAGGGAACUGAAAUAAUAUGAUGAAUUGUAAAUCGAAUGUUAUAAUAAUUCCAUAUUUAUUCUGUUAAAUGUUUAAGUCAACUUAUCCUAGUUAAAAAGUCUGCAGGC